AGCGAACGCUGGCGGCAGGCCUAACACAUGCAAGUCGAGCGCCGUAGCAAUACGGAGCGGCAGGCGGGUGAGUAACGCGUGGGAACGUGCCCUUUAGUUCGGAAUAACCCAGGGAAACUUGGGCUAAUACCGGAUACGCCCUUCGGGGGAAAGAUUUAUCGCUAAAGGAUCGGCCCGCGUAAGAUUAGCUAGUUGGUGAGGUAACGGCUCACCAAGGCUAUGAUCUUUAGCUGUUCUGAGAGGAAGAUCAGCCACACUGGGACUGAGACACGGCCCAGACUCCUACGGGAGGCAGCAGUGGGGAAUAUUGGACAAUGGGCGCAAGCCUGAUCCAGCCAUGCCGCGUGAGUGAUGAAGGCCUUAGGGUUGUAAAGCUCUUUUACCAGGGAAGAUAAUGACGGUACCUGGAGAAUAAGCCCCGGCUAACUUCGUGCCAGCCGCCGCAGUAA
rnacentral:rRNA from 1 species